UUUUCUAGUCCAAUGGUACUAAUAAUAUGCCACAAUUAUUGAUUACAAGUGGCAAAAUAUAUGUAACUUUUUAUAAAUUCAAUGUUUUUUUUUAUGCCAAAUCUAUUUUGUCCCUAUUUUCUUUCAUGCUCUUGCUCGUACUUUUUAUGAUGGAGACUUUGGAAUUUAAGAAGGGGAUGAAAGACAAGGGCCAUCAAUAUUCAAUGAGAGAGACUCAAUGUCUCGUGUAGGAUAGAAAGAGGAGGUGAAGGCUACUAGUAUCUACUUCCUAAUAUCUCCAAUCCUUAGCACCUCCUCUUCUCAAAUCCCAUGUAUUUCUUCUUUCAUUUGAAAUACUUAUCUUCCUAUCUCUCUCUCUUCUUGUCACAUCUCCCUUCCUUAUCUCUUUUGCUUAACAAGCACUUUUGCUAAUUCCUCUUACAUAAUCA
rnacentral:lncRNA from 1 species